NCAGAUGCGGGUAAUAGCAUUCGCCAGUAGGGGACUGACAAAGAGUGAAGCGAGAUACCCCGCACAUAAGCUUGAAUUUUUGGCGUUAAAGUGGGCUGUCACAGUCAAAUUCAGCGACUAUUUGUAUGGUGUAGAUUUCACAGUUGUAACCGACAGUAAUCCCCUGACGUAUGUUUUGACUUCUGCAAAGCUUGACGCUACCAGUUACCGCUGGUUGUCUAGUUUGUCGACAUACACUUUUAAGCUCCAAUACAGAGCUGGGAGUCAAAACCAGGACGCGGACGGGCUUUCCCGGCGUCCGCAUGGUGAGCCUUUGGAUGAUCUCGUCUCUCAGAAAGAAAGAGAGAGGAUCAAGCAGUUUACCCUCCACCACCUGGCGGAGCCUGAAACUGGGUCUGAGGUUCUCAUGGCGGAUGUGGUUAAUGCCAUUUGUGAGAGGCAUCAGGUGAUUGGUUUGCCCGAAAGCCCUGACUUGGCACACACUCCAGUUACGUUGGUCGAGUCCCUCACUCAUAGCGUUGAUGCUUUGCCGAAUGAAUUUCAACACGAGGUUGAGCAUGGUCUUCCUGAUCUCUCUAACAUCUCAGAGGCCACGUUAGCAGAAUGGCAAGGGAAAGAUCCAGAGCUUGAGGUUGUAAUGGAAUGGAUGAAGAAUGGGACUAGGCCAGGUACCCUGAGGGGUCAACCCCCUGAUAUGGUAUUGUGGUUGAGGGAGUGGAGUCGUCUUGAACUGAGGAAUGGGGUGCUGUAUAGGAGGAAGCAAGAACAAGGGGCUCUUCAUUAUCAGUUAGUGCUACCAGCCAGGCUAAGGGAGAUAGUGUUGCGCAGCCUCCACGAUGACAUGGGGCACUUGGGUAUUGAGAGGACCCUGGACUUAGUGAGGUCCAGGUUCUUCUGGCCUAAAAUGUCCCAAACAGUUGAAAAAAAGAUCAAAACCUGUGAACGCUGCGUGCGCAGGAAAACGCCUCCAGACAGAGCCGCUCCUCUGGUCAAUAUUCAAACCAGUAGGCCUUUGGAGUUGGUCUGUAUGGACUUUU
ensembl:lncRNA